GGGGAGUAUGGUUGCAAAGCUGAAACUUAAAGGAAUUGACGGAAGGGCACCACCAGGAGUGGAGCCUGAGGCUUAAUUUGACCCAACACGGGAAACCUCACCCGGCCCGGACACGGACAGGAUUGACAGAUUGAGAGCUCUUUCUCGAUUCCGUGGGUGGUGGUGCAUGGCCGUUCUUAGUUGGUGGAGCGAUUUGUC
rnacentral:rRNA from 1 species